rnacentral:lncRNA from 1 species
CUACUGUGAGAAAGAGGAUGGGUGGUAUUGGAGGUUGAGUGGACCAUUCCUGUGUUUCUGAAGGGUGAGAGGAAGGCCAAAUUUUAACAACUAUCUGCAUACAGAAAAGCACCAUCAGAAGAACAAAAAAUCAGGUGACACUGAUGGGCUACACCACAAUUCAGCUUAUAAGAACCUGUGGAACCUCUGGCACCUGUGGAAGGAGUCCUGUAGUAGCCGCAAUCACUGGAAGAAAGUAAGAAAUGCCUGCCUCUAUGUCUGGAAUGGGAUAUAGCCAUAUCAAGAACUGAACGGAUAGAUGCUCAGCACAAUGUGCUUUCCUAUGACUCUACUCUCCCCUGCCCCUCUUCUCUGGAAUGGACUACAGUUCAAGAUUCUAUCUAAUGUACCUGUCCAAGGACAAUGUCAGCCUCUUCCCUGAUAAGAAGGAGAUGGCAUCUAUGAAGAUGAGCUUGUGCAGCCAAAAGUUCA